rnacentral:sRNA from 1 species
AAUUGACUGCCGAAGACAGCAGGUGCCGUAAGGCAUAAGGUAUGAACGCCUGCCGAGGAAGAUCAGAAUUCUUAAUAUGAAUUUGUGAACUUUCGCGUUUUCGGACACGGAAGUUUUUUUAGU